GGGGUUCUAGGCCAAAGCUCGUCCUUGUGGCGUGGCUGGGUUUGGGCUUCCUAUGUUUGGAUAGUGCGCAAGCGCUUCCAAUCGUUUACUUUGAAAAAAUUAGAGUGUUCAAAGCAGGCGUAACCUUGCCAUUGAAUAUUACAGCAUGGGAUAAUAGAAUAUGACGUUGGUCUUAUUUUGUUGGUUUCUAAGGCUGAUGUA
rnacentral:rRNA from 1 species